rnacentral:rRNA from 1 species
CAGGGGCGGUGGAACUCGUGGUGUAGCGGUGAAAUGCUUAGAUAUCACGAAGAACUCCGAUCGCGAAGGCAGCCGCCCGGUGGCCGACUGACGCUGAGGCUCGAAGGUGCGGGUAUCAAACAGGAUUAGAUACCCUGGUAGUCCGCACGGUAAACGUUGGAUACUCGCGGUUGGUUUUUAUUGAGUCAGCCGCCAAGCGAAAGUGUUAAGUAUCCCACCUGGGGAGUACGCCGGCAACGGUGAAACUCAAAGGAAUUGACGGGGGCCCGCACAAGCGGAGGAACAUGUGGUUUAAUUCGAUGAUACGCGAGGAACCUUACCCGGGUUUGAACGCGGGUGGACCGGCCAGGAAACUGGCCUUCUAGCAAUAGCCGCCCGCGAGGUGCUGCAUGGUUGUCGUCAGCUCGUGCCGUGAGGUGUCGGCUUAAGUGCCAUAACGAGCGCAACCCCCAUCGCCAGUUACUAACAGUUAAAGCUGAGGACUCUGGCGAGACUGCCAGCGUAAGCUGCGAGGAGGGUGGGGAUGACGUCAAAUCAGCACGGCCCUUACAUCCGGGGCGACACACGUGUUACAAUGGCGUGGACAAAGGGCUGCGACCUGGCGACAGGAAGCGAAUCCCCAAACCACGUCUCAGUUCGGAUCGGAGUCUGCAACCCGACUCCGUGAAGCUGGAUUCGCUAGUAAUCGCGCAUCAGCCAUGGCGCGGUGAAUACGUUCCCGGGCCUUGUACACACCGCCCGUCAAGCCAUGGGAGCCGGGGNNNNNNGAAGUCCGUUACCGCGAGGAUCGGCCUAGGGUAAAACUGGUGACUGGGGCUGAGUCGUAACAAGGUAACCA